GCUACGGGCGCUCGGCACUCCGGGCGCGCUGUGGGGAUUCACCUGGAGAAGGCCCUCAAACUCAGACUGGAAGGACACCUUGACUGCUCUGGGUCUCUAGCUUGCUGACUGCAGAUCUCAGAACUUCUCUGCUCCACAGUCAUAUGACCAAAUGUGUGGAACUUGAAGACAUCUCUAAGAAACGAAUCCAGGCACUAUGGAAGCCAUCCAUAGAGUAGCCAUAGUGGCAUUGAUGAAGAUGAUGUGUGGACCCAAAACGAAUGGACUCCAACCUUCCAGUUCUGACUUAGCUACGCAUACCUGACUAUCCCAACAGUCAACAACAGAGACCAAUGCUGUGACCCCAAUAUGACACUUAAUCAAGGAGACCAACUUGCUACUUGGUGACAGGUUGACUCGGCGAAUUCAUCUAUGCUUCAGGGCCAAUAGUUUGUUCUCAUAGUGGUAGAUACUAAAUUUAUCCAUGGGUUUUCCAUUCUACCCACAGAUUCUCAUCCCAGCCACUAGGUUAUGGCUUUAUGGAAUGUCUGGUGCACAGGCAUAAGAUGUUAUAAAAUAGCACCUGACCUGGGUGCAUCUCAGUAAAAGAGGUAUGGAAGUGAGCCCAUGGCUAUGGGAUUAACACAGUUCAGAAAAACAUAAAGAGUUAUAUUACUUUCCAAAGGCACAAGUGAAACAGCACUUAGUGCUAUCAGUCAGGAUGUGUUAGACACAUUAAAUCAUAGGUGGUUAUAGUUCCAGUAGAAACACUACAUGGUCCUCUAACCAGGAGUGGAUAUAGCAUAGCCCCAGUUAUGUUCAUUCACCCAUUAGAACUUACUGUGCUUCCCAUACCCACAUCUGGAAUUUGUAGGGCUGGAGGUACUCUUCCCAAAAGUCUCUCCCUUAAAGGGCGUGUGAUCCAUAAGCUCUGACUGCUACUGGGGUACUAUGUCCAGGGAUUGGUAGGCAAAAGGAGGUGUCACCAUCAUGUAAGGGACAAAUAACCCAAUCAGUAGGAAGAGGUGACGCUACUUUUUACAGAAUGCCUGUGGUCCACCUGGCAUCUUUUGAUACUCUCUUACUCCCCUGUAACUGGGAACAGACACAUGUUAGUAACCCUGGCCUGAGAAAGGUAUCAUUACCAGGAGCUCAGAAUCCUCAAGAAUUCAAGUUUGGUUCAUACAACUACAUAAGCCCCCAAGACCUCCUGAACUAAUCACUGAGGGAAAGGGGAUGUAGAGUGGAUAGUAGAAAGGAGAGGAUGAUUGUCAGUUGUGGCCUGACCAAAAUGUUGUAGUUCAUCCCACUAAGCUUCCCCUUCUAAGUUUUCCUUCAAGAAGAGAGACAAGUGGCGGCCCUCCCUGGUGGUGCAGCCAGUUGGAGAACUGCACU